rnacentral:tRNA from 1 species
GGAGACGUGCCGGAGCGGCUGAACGGGCGCGCUUGGAGAGCGCGAAACCUCCGAAAGGGGGUUCUUGGGUUCAAAUCCCAACGUCUCCGCCA